rnacentral:rRNA from 1 species
AGCAGCUAAGCCACCUUAUUUACGGUGUUGCCCUCGUUGGCUUCCUUUUACGCCCGCAACAUUCUUGCUCGUUUCCUCCGUCUCCCCUCCUGGAGUCGCGACUCUGAACCCUAAAGCGUAGAUCCCCGCGCAGCAGGAGCAAUAACUCGCGCGUACGAAAUUUCCUCCAGUAAAACAUGAGGGAUUUUUUUGAGUGCAUUCGCCACCCGAGCACUAAGUGGGCGCAGAGCCUAGACAAGGUUUACUUGAUGAUUGAGCUGCCCGACGCAAAGGAUGUGAAGCUCAAGUUGAACCCUGAUGGCCAUUUCAACUUCUAAGCAACGGCCCCUCCUGAUGACAUGCAGUAUGAGCUUGACCUUGAGCUCUUUGAUGUUGUCAGUGUUGAGGAGAGCCAAGCGGCUCUUGCCCCGAGGACUAUAUGCUACCUUGUCAAGAAAGCUGAGGGCAAGUGGUGGCCUAGGCUGCUCAAGAAGGAAGGCAAACCACCUGUGUUCCUCAAGGUUGACUGGGAUAAAUGGCAAGAUGAGGAUGAUGAAGACGCUGGAUUUGGUGACUUUGGUGAUAUGGACUUCUCGAAGCUGGAUAUGGGAGGUGGUGAUGACGAUGAUGAGAUUUUGGAGCAUGAUGAAAACAAUGUGGUUGACAAUGCUAACAAAGGAAGCUUAUGAUGUUUAUCUUGUACUACAUGAUUUUUUCGGGAAGCAUAUGCCUGUUCAAGGCUUCAUAUUUCUGUCCUGCUAUUUGAUUAGUGCUAUUCUGAUAAUAUUCAGAACGAGCAUACUAGUAAGACAUUUUGAUGAAUCCUACUCUUAAUUAUUUAGCCUUUUAGGUGAGCCCUCAAUUUUUUUGGAGGUCCAAUGAGAGAGUAGCAUAGACAUAUCUUCAGUGUUGCUUUCAUAAUCUCCCUAUCACAUACACAUGCCUGUGGAAGUGUCGAACACUGUCCAAUGUUGUUCAAUGUAAGUCGAGGCGACUGUCGUAACUCUUAAUCAUCAGUUCCAAGAACAGUACAUAGAGACUUUGGUCGGCCUUCUCUUUUGUGAAUUACUACAAAAUUUUGAUUUGGUCUAUUUAACUUGUGAAGUCUGGUCUCGACUCUCGGAUAUCGAAAAUGGAUUUUAUGGGUUGUACUGUUUGCUGAACUAAUUUCAUGUUGUUGUAAAUGCAGCUGAUGUAGAUGUCGAGACAGAGGAGGGGAGCAAGGGAGGGGAAGCUCCAUCAGCUGCGGGUGAAGAAGCAAAGUCAUAAAAGAUUGGAGGCGAUGGCAUGGUUACAAUGAUGAUCACGAGAUCUGUAUCUAGACACUGGUAGAAUUUUGGCGUGCCCCUGAAGUUGGGUAGUAGAGGUGGUGUUGGUAGCUUUUGGCCGGGGGCUAUCUGUAGUGUUUGACGGACGGCACUGCUGUGCAUUCUGUUAUCCUGCACUUCUUGUUUAUUGUAGACCUGCUAGGUAUGUUAAUUGCAUGAGAUUGUGGUGUCACGUAUCUCAGAUAAUAUAAGAUUGCUUACUGUUGAUGAAAACAUGAAGGGCC